CCCUAACCAACGCGUACAAAGGACCACUGCCGUUUGAGACUGAAAAGCCCUAUAAGGAGUGAACAUGCAAUGCAUGCUUCCAGCGGGAUGCACAGCCAACAACUAUGGUUUGCAUGCCCUGCCGAAGGACCCUGUCAUAAUGCGGAAUAGGUGGUUGGAGUUUGUUGGUCCACAGUGGUGACAAAGUGCACAGUUGGGUGCCAGACUGAUCCCCUGGUCAUGAACGGAUGCUGGGACCUACCAGAAGGAGCAAAGGCCCUCCAAGUCAACACCACCUCAUAAGAUAGCCUGCUGCAGUUGAUCGAGAGAUGUCCAGUUUGCAGCUGAACAUGCAGCAUAGAGAAGAUCAGCAAGGGGGCCCUCAUCAGCAUCAUGCAGACAUGCCCUCAUUGUGAGCAUUCCUAUGAAUGGAACAGUCAGCCACAUGUUGGAAAAUAUCCGGCCAGCAACCUUCACCUGUCAACGACCAGUAUCUUUGAUGAGGGGCCAGAAGCUGAUCUACGCUGCUCUGACAAAGACCUCACCCCCAGCUUCAUCUCUAGCCUGCUCACCAACAUUUUACUAGACACAACUUUUAUUUAUUUAUUUUUGAUUAUUGAAUGGUAUCAGUCAA